UACGUAGGUGGCAAGCGUUGUCCGGAUUUAUUGGGUUUAAAGGGUGCGUAGGCGGUCUUCUAAGUCAGUUGUGAAAUACUUCAGCUUAGCUGGAGAGGUGCAAUUGAUACUGGAAGACUUGAGUACUGAUGAGGUAGGCGGAAUGGACGGUGUAGCGGUGAAAUGCUUAGAUAUCAGGAGGAACACCAAUUGCGAAGGCAGCUCGCUGGGACGUUACUGACGCUGAGACGCGAAAGCGUGGGGAGCAAACAGG
rnacentral:rRNA from 1 species